rnacentral:tRNA from 1 species
GCACGAAUGGUGAAAUUGGCAGACACGCUAGAUUUAGGCUCUAGUACUUUCGGGUAUGAGGGUUCAAGUCCCUCUUCGUGCA